rnacentral:rRNA from 1 species
CCUACGGGAGACAGCAGUGGGGAAUAUUGCACAAUGGGCGAAAGCCUGAUGCAGCAACGCCGCGUGAGCGAUGAAGGCCUUCGGGUCGUAAAGCCCUGUCCUCAAGGAAGAUAAUGACGGUACUUGAGGAGGAAGCCCCGGCUAACUACGUGCCAGCAGCCGCGGUAAUACGUAGGGGGCUAGCGUUAUCCGGAAUUACUGGGCGUAAAGGGUGCGUAGGUGGUUUCUUAAGUCAGAGGUGAAAGGCUAGGGCUCAACCGUAGUAAGCCUUUGAAACUGGGGAACUUGAGUGCAGGAGAGGAGAGUGGAAUUCCUAGUGUAGCGGUGAAAUGCGUAGAUAUUAGGAAGAACACCAGUUGCGAAGGCGGCUCUCUGGACUGUAACUGACACUGAGGCACGAAAGCGUGGGGAUCAAACAGGAUUAGAUACCCGAGUAGUC